rnacentral:rRNA from 1 species
AACGAACGCUGGCGGCGUGCCUAACACAUGCAAGUCGAGCGCGAAUGGAGCAAUCCUAGUAGAGCGGCGCACGGGUGCGUAACACGUGGGUAAUCUGCCUGGGAGAUGAGGAUAACCAGUCGAAAGACUGGCUAAUACUCGAUAAGCCCACGGGGACUUCGGUCCCUGAGGGAAAAGGUGGCCUCUGUAUACAAGCUAUCACUUCCAGAUGAGCCCGCGGCCCAUCAGCUAGUUGGCGGGGUAAUAGCCCACCAAGGCAACGACGGGUAGCUGGUCUGAGAGGACGAUCAGCCACACUGGAACUGAGACACGGUCCAGACUCCUACGGGAGGCAG